GCAGGCGCGAAACCUUUACACUGCACGCCAGUGCGAUAAGGGGAUCCCAAGUGCGUAGGCAUARAGCCUACGCUUUUGUCCACCCUAGGGUGGUGGACRAAUAAKGGCUGGGCAAGACCGGUGCCAGCCGCCGSGGUAAUACCGGCAGCCCGAGUGAUGGCCGAUCUUAUUGGGCCUAAAGCGUCCGUAGCUGGCCGMACAAGUCCAUCGGGAAAUCCACCUACUCAACAGGUGGGCGUCCGGUGGAAACUGUGUGGCUUGGGACCGGAAGGCGCGACGGGWACGUCCGGGGUAGGAGUGAAAUCCUGUAAUCCUGGACGGACCGMCRAUGGCGAAAGCACGUCSCGAAGACGGAUCCRACAGUGAGGGACGAAAGCUAGGGUCUCGAACCGGAUUAGAUACCCGGGUAGUCCUAGCCGUAAACACUGCCUGCUAGGUGUGGCACCCACUACGAGUGGGUGCUGCGCCGUAGGGAAGCCGCUAAGCAGGCCGCCUGGGAAGUACGUCCGCAAGGAUGAAACUUAAAGGAAUUGGCGGGGGAGCACUACAACCGGAGGAGCCUGCGGUUUAAUUGGAUUCAACGCCGG
rnacentral:rRNA from 1 species